rnacentral:rRNA from 1 species
AGAGUUUGAUUAUGGCUCAGGACGAACGCUGGCGGCGUGCCUAACACAUGCAAGUCGAGCGGGGACAUGCGACGGAGCUGAAGUUUUCGGAUGGAAGCGAAGAUGUAUGUUCUAGCGGCGGACGGGUGAGUAACGCGUGAGCAACCUGUCCCUCACAGGGGGAUAACACAGCGAAAGUUGUACUAAUACCGCAUAAGACCACACCGGGACAUCCCGGAGGGGUCAAAGAUUUAUCGGUGAGGGGUGGGCUCGCGUCCGAUUAGAUAGUUGGUGAGGUAACGGCCCACCAAGUCGACGAUCGGUAGCCGACCUGAGAGGGUGAUCGGCCACAUUGGGACUGAGACACGGCCCAAACUCCUACGGGAGGCAGCAGGUGGGAAUAUUGGGCAAUGGGGGAACCCUGACCCAGCAACGCCGCGUGAGGGAAGAAGGUUUUCGGAUCGUAAACCUCUGUCCUUGGUGAAGAGAAAGAGACGGUAGCCAAGGAGGAAGCCCCGGCUAACUACGUGCCAGCAGCUGC